CAAUAGGUUCGUAGUGACCUGCGGAGGAUCAUU
rnacentral:rRNA from 1 species